rnacentral:rRNA from 16 species
UCAGUACCCGAACUCUCAAUGACACGAAUGUCCUUCCUCAAGACGCC